CCAUUCCACAAGCCUUGAAUCAUUCCGUUGAAUACAUCCUUGAAUUUCUUCAACCUCACUCUUGUAAUCGGACCAUUAGGUAGCUGAAUUGGAUCCAUGUUCUUGUAUCCUGCCUUAUUUGCAUCGAAGUUUCUAAAGCAUCCAGUUCUAGCAAAGAUAAGGGUAAGCUUGACUCUACUACUAAUUCAAGAAAUAAUAAAUGUUUCAAGUGUAGGCCAAUUGUGGAAAGUUCAAAUAUGAGCUUUUUGAACAGCCCAAAUUCGUAACUUUAAUUGGAUUUAAAUGAUUUGGGAU
rnacentral:lncRNA from 1 species